rnacentral:misc_RNA from 1 species
GAUGAAGAACGCAGCGAAAUGCGAUACGUAAUGUGAAUUGCAGAAUUCAGUGAAUCAUCGAAUCUUUGAACGCAUAUUGCGCUCUCUGGUAUUCCGGAGAGCAUGCUUGUUUGAGUAUCAGUAAACACCUCAACUUCCAUAUCUUUUUUGAAAUGGGAGUUGGACUUGAGUGAUCCCAACGCUUUUCCUCACCGAAAAGUGGCGGGUUACUUGAAAUGCAGGUGCAGCUGGACUUUUCUCUGAGCUAUAAGCAUAUCUAUUUAGUCUGCCUAAAAAACAGAUUAUUACCUUUGCUGCAGCUAACAUAAAGGAGAUUAGUUCUUGUGCUGGCUGAUGCAGGAUUCACAAAGACAGGCUUCGGCCGACUUUGUAAACUCGAUCUCAAAUCAAGUAAGACUACCCGCUGAACUUAAGCAUAUCAAUAAGCGGAGGA